CCGUUCAACUCGUCUCCUCCAUGAAGGAGACUACGGGAG
rnacentral:ncRNA from 1 species